rnacentral:rRNA from 1 species
UGGGGAAUAUUAGACAAUGGGCGCAAGCCUGAUCCAGCAAUGCCGCGUGCAGGAUGAAGGUCUUCGGGUUGUAAACUGCUUUUGUACGGAACGAAAAGGCGCAGGUUAAUACCUGGGGGCUAUGACGGUACCGUAAGAAUAAGCACCGGCUAACUACGUGCCAGCAGCCGCGGUAAUACGAAGGGUGCAAGCGUUAAUCGGAAUUACUGGGCGUAAAGCGUGCGCAGGCGGUUUUGUAAGACAGAGGUGAAAUCCCCGGGCUCAACCUGGGAACUGCCUUUGGGACUGCAAGGCUGGAGUACGGCAGAGGGGGAUGGAAUUCCGCGUGUAGCAGUGAAAUGCGUAGAUAUGCGGAGGAACACCGGUGGCGAAGGCAAUCACCUGGGCCGGUACUGACGCUGAGGCGCGAAAGCGUGGGGAGCAAACA